AGGAGGAACAACCACAGUGGCGGCGGCCAGCUCUGGCUCCCUGGAUUCAGCUCCCGCAGGAACUACGGAGCUCUCGGUCUGCAGGGCCUGGAGGCUCCGGGGCGGG
rnacentral:pre_miRNA from 1 species